ACGUAGGUGGCAAGCGUUGUCCGGAUUUACUGGGUGUAAAGGGCGCGUAGGCGGACUGGCAAGUCAGAUGUGAAAUCCAUGGGCUCAACUCAUGAACUGCAUUUGAAACUGUUGGUCUUGAGUGUCGGAGAGGCAAGCGGAAUUCCUAGUGUAGCGGUGAAAUGCGUAGAUAUUAGGAGGAACACCAGUGGCGAAGGCGGCUUGCUGGACGAUAACUGACGCUGAGGCGCGAAAGCGUGGGGAGCAAACAG
rnacentral:rRNA from 1 species